UGCCUACGGGAGGCAGCAGUGAGGAAUAUUGGUCAAUGGGCGCGAGCCUGAACCAGCCAAGUCGCGUGAGGGAAGACGGUCCUAUGGAUUGUAAACCUCUUUUGUCGGGGAGCAAAAGACGCCACGCGUGGCGUUCCGAGAGUACCCGAAGAAAAAGCAUCGGCUAACUCCGUGCCAGCAGCCGCGGUAAUACGUAGGGAGCAAGCGUUAUCCGGAUUUAUUGGGUGUAAAGGGUGCGUAGACGGGUAUACAAGUUAGUAGUGAAAUCCCUCGGCUUAACUGAGGAACUGCUACUAAAACUAUAU
rnacentral:rRNA from 1 species